rfam:Clohesyomyces aquaticus strain CBS 115471 BCR34scaffold_114, whole genome shotgun sequence.
ACAUACGACCAUAGGAUCAAGUACAUAGCGCUUCCCGUUUGCUCAGCGGUACUCAAGCUUGAUACCGGCGGAUUAGUAGUUGCGUGGGUGACCAGCAGCGAAUCCCUGCUGUUGUAUGUU